GAGUCCGCGCGCGACUGGCGUUGAGGUGGCUACCACCAGGGAGCCGUGGACAGCACGACUUACGGGACCGUUCGCCUGGGCCCCGCGU
rnacentral:ncRNA from 1 species